rfam:Caryophanon tenue strain DSM 14152 DSM_14152_R1_001_contig_10, whole genome shotgun sequence.
GUGAAUCAUCCAUUUGUACCGUAGACAGUAGGAGUGACUUGUCACUUAAUGAUCCUACCGAGGACAUCGGAAUUCGGAUUCUUUUUAAGAUGAUGACUUUCAGCCUCUAUGUCUAUAUGAUGUAGAGGCUUUUCUUUUGUCGGU